UACGUAGGUGGCAAGCGUUAUCCGGAUUUAUUGGGUGUAAAGGGCGUGUAGGCGGGAAUGCAAGUCAGAUGUGAAAACUCAGGGCUCAACCCUGAGCUUGCAUUUGAAACUGUGUUUCUUGAGUGCUGGAGAGGCAAUCGGAAUUCCGUGUGUAGCGGUGAAAUGCGUAGAUAUACGGAGGAACACCAGUGGCGAAGGCGGAUUGCUGGACAGUAACUGACGCUGAGGCGCGAAAGCGUGGGGAGCAAACGGG
rnacentral:rRNA from 1 species